ensembl:lncRNA
CCUUGGAUUAAGGUUACUUUCUGAAAAGGAGUGCUCUGCUGUUAGAGACACUUUGUUGCUAACAAAGUGAGUCAACUUUUCUCCUUUUUGAUGAUUACUGCUAUUCCAAAGGAUACUUUGCCUGAGAUUGGGAAGAACUUCUCAGAAGCAGUUUUGCAGCUUCCUAGGACAGUCACAUGCUAUUGAUGGUGUGAGUUGGUAUAUCCCGAAGUAUAUAAUAUGUAGCGGAUUCUGAGUCUUGACAGCCUGGAAGAAAACCUCAGUUGCCUUGCUCACCUAAAUAUGCAAGAAAAAAAAAAAAAACAACUCACCUUAAUUGAGCUGUGGAAACGUCUUUUUUAAGAAAAGUUUUUUUUUUUGAAAGAAGAUACUUCAUGAAUAACAUAAGCAGCAAUUAGAGAGAUGAUUUUGGCAUAUCUAAAAAUCAUGUAUGGAAUAGCUUCAGUUUCUGAAGCCCCAGAACAAGUUGUGUAAUGGUAUAGGAUCCAAUAUCACUUGCAGAUGGUGUAAAACUAGCACGAUAGCCUGCCUUGUUGGCUCUGUUAAACUUCUGUCCUACAUAGGCUGAUCAGAUUUGUAGUAGAUCUACUACCGCCUCUUUAUUUUGAUGUGUAAAAAAAAAAAAAAAAAAAAAAAAACAACAAAACAAAACAAAAAAAACACAAAUCAGAAUGUUUCAGGAAUUUCACUGUGCAUAAGAACUGCCUCCUGUGAAUUACAAUAAGCAGCUCCUAUUAUUCCUGUAAUAUUGGAACUAUCGAAGUGAAAUAUCUUAAGAUAACUUUAUUCAACAUCCUUAAUAAAUGAUUAUCUCCAAUAAAUUUGGAACUGAAGGUAUGUAUUUUUUCAGCUGUCCCAAAUUAACAAAUGAAGUUGAAAAUUAUAAAUGUGAUAUGAAUAUGAUCUUGAAGAUGAUAUUUUUAUGAAGUAGACAACUACUGUAAUGGCUAAUUUUAAUUUUUGUAGUUUUUUGCUGUCAACAUUAAACUAUCACUUAAUCU